AAACUCGCCUACAUGAAGCUGGAAUUGCUAGUAAUCACAGGUCAGCAUACUGUGGUGAAUACGUUCCCGGGCCUUGUACACACCGCCCGUCACACCAUGAGAGUUGAGAAUACCCGAAGUCCAUGUUAAAGUGGCCGAAGGUAGGCUUGAUGAUUGGGGUGAAGUCGUAACAAGGUACC
rnacentral:rRNA from 1 species